UACGGGGGGGGCGAGCGUUGUUCGGAAUUACUGGGCGUAAAGGGUUUGUAGGUGGUCUGCUAAGUCAGACGUGAAAUCCCUCAGCUUAACUGGGGAACUGCGUCUGAUACUGGCGGACUUGAGGACAGGAGAGGAACGCGGAAUUCCAGGUGUAGCGGUGAAAUGCGUAGAUAUCUGGAGGAACACCGAUGGCGAAGGCAGAUCUCUGGGCCGUAACUGACGCUGAGGAGCGAAAGCAUGGGGAGCGAACAGG
rnacentral:rRNA from 1 species